AUUACAAAAACUACAAAUAGAGCUUAAUCUGCCUUCCUCAACCUAAAGCUUCUCUUCUACAUUCAAGCUUUCUUUGAUUCUUCUUCUGAACGGUCAUUACGGCGGGGAUAGUUACAUCUUCUGUACCUUUCAAUCUCUCUCGAAAGAUGCCUGCUGACGUGUUUAUCCCGGCGUCACCAACUUCCUCCUCCUCCGACAGCUCUUCCCGUUGGAAUCCCUCUCUCUCCGCCUCUCUCUACCGCAUCGACGGUUGGGGAGCUCCAUACUUCACCGCCAACUCUUCCGGUAACAUCUCCGUUCGUCCUCAUGGCUCCGACACUCUGCCUCACCAAGACAUCGAUCUCCUCAAAGUAGUUAAGCAUUUGACUGAUCCGAAAGCCUCCGGUGGUUUAGGGCUGCAGCUUCCUCUCAUCGUGCGGUUCCCUGACGUUUUAAAGAACAGGCUCGAGUGUCUCCAGUCCGCGUUCGAUUCCGCGGUAAAGUCUCAGGGGUACGGUUCUUAUUACCAAGGUGUUUAUCCGGUUAAAUGCCACCAGGACCGGUUCAUUGUGGAGGAUAUCGUGAAUUUCGGUUCUCCUUUCCGGUUUGGUUUGGAAGCUGGUUGUAAACCGGAGAUCCUUUUAGCUAUGAGUUGCUUGUGUAAAGGCAACCCUGAGGCCUUUCUCAUCUGUAACGGCUUCAAAGAUGCUGAGUAUGUAUCCUUGGCUCUCCUCGGUAGAAAGCUUGCGCUCAACACAGUGAUUGUGCUCGAGCAAGAACAUGAGCUUGAUCUUGUUAUCGACCUUAGCAAGAAGAUGAACGUGAGGCCUGUCAUUGGGUUAAGAGCUAAGCUGAGAACCAAACAAACAAAUUAUUACGGGUCGAAUUCAGGUGAAAAGGGAAAGUUUGGAUUGACAAGUGCUCAGAUUGUUUGUGUCGUGGCGAAGCUUAGGGAGUCUGGUAUGCUUGACUGCCUCCAGCUCUUGCAUUUUCACAUUGGCUCAAUGAUUCCAACGACUUCUUUGCUAUCUGAUGGUGUCUCCGAAGCUGCUCUGAUUUACUGUGAGCUUGUGCGUCUUGGUGCACAUAUGAGAGUUAUUGAUGUUGGUGGUGGUUUGGGGAUUGACUAUGACGGGUCUAAGUCUGGAGAAGGUGAUAUCUCGGUUGCUUAUACACUCGAGGAGUAUGCUGAAGCUGUUGUAACUUCCAUCAGGUAUGUAUGUGACCGGAGAUCGGUAAAACAUCCGGUGAUAUGCAGUGAAAGUGGGAGAGCAAUAGUCUCUCAUCAUUCUGUGUUGAUCUUUGAAGCUGUUAAGCCAAUAACUCACCAACCGAAGCCUGAUGAUAUUCAGUUACUGCUCGAAGGUGAGGAAGAUCUAUACACGGCUGUGAUGCGUGGAGACCAAGAAAAGUCUCUACUGUACGUGGACCAGCUGAAACAGAGAUGUGUUGAAGGUUUCAAAGAUGGUGUUUUGAACAUCGAGCAGUUAGGUUCUAUUGAUGGGUUAUGCGAAUGGGUUUUGAAGGCUAUAGGCAGGUCGGAUCCGGUUCAGACUUACAACAUCAACCUAUCGAUUUUCACUUCGACUUCUAGCCACUGGGGGAUGGGACACCUGUUUCCUAUCGCUCCUAUCCAUAAGCUCGAUCAAGAGCCUAAGGCUUGUGGGAUCUUGUCUGAUAUAACGUGUGACAGUGAAGGGAAGAUCGUUAAGUUCAUAGGCGGCGAGUCUAGCUUGCCGUUGCACGAGAUAGAUAGCAAUGGAAGGUACUUUUUGGGUUUAUUCCUUGGAGGGGCUUAUGAGGAGUCUAUGGGUGGAGUCUAUAAUCUGUUUGGCGGGCUAAGCGUUGUCCGUGUCUCGCAGAGCGAUGGACCACAUAGUUUUGUAGUGACCAGAGCCGUGCCUGGUCAGUCCUCUUCCGAUGUUCUCCGAGCAGUGCAGCAUGAGCCUGAGCUAAUGCUUCAGACACUAAAGCACAGAGCAGAGGAAGUAAUGCAUACCAAAGGAGGUGGUGAAGAAAAAGAAGAAGAUGAGUACAAGAAUGUGGCUGCUUGUCUCGACCGUUCGUUCCACAACAUGCCGUAUCUCGCGACCGAGGAGGGCAUCAAUGAGUAACUCUCUUUCAACUGCGAUCAAUAACCACGGCUUUUAAUACUGAGGCGACAACCUAUAUGAGUGCGAGAAAGCUGGUCUUGUGGUUUGUUGUGGCAGUUAAAUUAUCAUUUUAAGUUUCGUAAAUAAACUAUUGGAAUAAAAUGAUAAUCAUAUGACGAGAUACAUGGUUGUAUUGUGUAAAGUCCUUUUGUAAAAAUUCGGAUUUUUGUAUCUUAUUUUAUUUAUUUUCAAGUUAGUUAGCAAUU